AGCUUCAACAGAUUUGGCAAUAACAUCCAGUGCCGAAGUCAUGACAGAUUCAGAAACCAAUAUGCCUAAUCUAACCACCCACGACAGCCACCAUUUCAACAGUUCUGCAAAUACCACCCUGGAAUCGACUACACUGAUUAAAACUACAAAAGACACAUCAGUUUUCACAUUGAUAAACGAAGGCCUUGAAAGUGAAAACAAGU